rnacentral:piRNA from 1 species
UCCCUAAAUGCAUUGGCAAUCUGACCGGA